GUAGGUGGCAAGCGUUGUCCGGAAUUAUUGGGCGUAAAGCGCGCGCAGGUGGUUCUUUAAGUCUGAUGUGAAAGCCCCCGGCUCAACCGGGGAGGGUCAUUGGAAACUGGGGAACUUGAGUGCAGGAGAGGAAAGUGGAAUUCCACGUGUAGCGGUGAAAUGCGUAGAUAUGUGGAGGAACACCAGUGGCGAAGGCGACUUUCUGGCCUGUAACUGACACUGAGGCGCGAAAGCGUGGGGAGCAAACAGGGAUUAGAUACCCUGGUAGUCCACGCCGUAAACGAUGAGUGCUAAGUGUUGGGGGGGGUUUUACCCGCCCCCGUCAGUGCUGCAGCUAACGCAUUAAGCACUCCGCCUGGGGAGUACGGCCGCAAGACUG
rnacentral:rRNA from 1 species